rnacentral:lncRNA from 1 species
AUGAUCAAGAAGUACAUAAGUUGUGAACCUUAUUUGGUGGUAGAGAUGAUAGAUGACGACAUAGAGUUCCUUGUGUUGGCUAGUCAUGGAAUAUGGAAGGCGAUGUCCAACCAACAAGUUUGAAUUCUACUAGAAGCAUAAAGAAUACCGAGAAAGCAGCAAAACAACUCACUAAACAGGCAUUAAAUGUUGGGACCUAUUGUUGUUACUUUGAUAUUUCUUGUUUAGUUGUAAGAUUUUGGUGAUUUUUUAAUGCAAGAUUUUUAUCAUAUAUCAUAUGAUGUAUGAUGUCAUGCUUAUUUAUGAUAUUUUUAUUCUCUCCAAUUUGUAAUUAAUUUAACCUCGAAAAAGAUAUAAGCUUCAAAAAGAUACCAAUAAGCUUGUUUGUUGUCCGAUUUAAAACAUCUUAAUUAAUUAAGAAUAAACGCUUAACUAAACAAAGAGUUUUUGUAAUUCCCUGAAAUGGUUGUUUUCAAUUUGCUUUGGAGAGAUAAUGAAGAUGAGGGAAUAUGAAGGAGAAUGAAGGGACAUGAUGAUCAACUUCUACAAUCACUGUGCAUGCUACAGGAAGCAUGCUUUCACCAUUUAUCACCACAACUAUUCUCACCCAUGCAAUCCUCUCCAUGAAAACGAUUGCCAUAAUGAAAAUCUUAGUUGUGGUGGCGAAGGAAAAAGUUGGGCUAGAUUCAUAAAAUAAAAAUAUAGUUUUACACAUCAUGUAAUCCGAAUGUGCAACCAAACGCAUUUGGCUUGGUCUUCCCCCAAGGCAACACAACAUUGGCGCAACAUUCCUUUUCAUCUCUUCUUUGUUUUGGCUUAUAUGGAGAGAAGUGGUUUUGUGGGGUCUUUGGUAGGAGACUGUGGACUGAAACUCGAGGGUCUUUAGCUACAACAAAGUUCUUAGCAGUGCGUCCUAUAUAUUUGGAAUGAAGCUUUUCAUUUGUGUGUUUUUGUUUUUGCCUGGUUUGCUUUCCGAUUAGGGUGAUUAGUCCAACUUCAUUUGGGUCGUAUACUACUUAUCAUUAACCGAGAAAUUAUUGUAUAUAAUAGUAAAAUCAAUACGAAUAAUUGUACACAUGUUUUUUUUUUUCAGAAAUCUUGUGGGUACGAGAAAAUUUUUAUCGAUAAAAGGGGCUUACAAUCUGUUGACGAAGAGUCCUAA